GGGGUGAUCAGAGGAUACCUUGGAAAGCAGCCAGCAUGGUGCUUCCGGCUUCGCUGCAAAGAGGGAAAUAGGCUGCCCUGCAGAUACUUGUUUCUUGCUGCUGCUCAACUGCCUUAAACAGUAUGCUAUCCUCCCAAGGUGUGAGGGGGUUUGUUUAUUUUUUAUGUAUAGAAAGGAUUAAUCAAACUUAGUCCUCUGGAUUGAGCCUCGACAAUGCUGGAAUUACAGACAAUCCAGGAUCCCAGCCAAGGAAUGGUGACACCCAUAGUGGGCAAGUCUUCCCGCCUCAAUUAACAUUAUCCAGAUAAUCCCUCCGGCUGGAGAGAUGGCUCAGCGGGUAAGAGCACUGACUGCUCUUCCAGAGGUCCUGAGUUCAAAUCCUCAGCAACCACAUGGUGGCUCACAACCAUCCGUAAUGAGAUCUGACGCCCUCUUCUGGAACGUCUGAAGACAGCUACCGUGUACUUACAUAUAAUAAAGAAAUAAAUCUUUAAAACAAAAAAUAAAGAUAAUCCCUCAUGGGCAUGUCCAAGGUCCAAAUCCUGGUGGUCUCUAGAGCCUGUCAAGUUGACAAUCAGUACCAUUCAUUUCUUCCUCCAUCCUUAGAAUGGCAUGAAAAGUUUAUAAAAUUCACAGUCCAACAAAACACUGCUUUACAUAACAUGAAGUAACUUAGGACUGGGCAGACUGAUCUCAAUAGCUGGCAUUAUAAGUGUUGAAUAAGCGAGAAACUCAACUUCAGUUGGCCUAGAUCCAUAUAGAGCCUAAUGUACAACUUGCCAUCACUCAUUUACCUUCUAGCAGAGUG
rnacentral:lncRNA from 1 species